GGCCGUCGAUCAUGUGGGUAUGAACGGUACCAUCCGGCGGGUCGUCAGGGGGGAUGCCCCGCAGCACGCCGCCUUGCAACGAAGUGGAGCUGGCAACAAUGCGUCCCGGCUUCUGGACCUCCCAAUAAUAGCCGGAGAGAGGCACGUCAUAGCGCGGAUCGCUCAACGGACGCUGCAGGUGCGGACCCGACGACGUGACGGUUACAAGACCCUGCAGUUCGUCCAAAUGGACAUAGAGCUCCUCGUAAAACUGUUGGGUGACAUGCGUCUUGAAGACUGUCGACAGUGCGACCCCGGAUACGAGGACCCC
rnacentral:misc_RNA from 1 species